GACGAACGCUGGCGGCGUGCUUAACACAUGCAAGUCGAACGGCAAGGCCCUGCUUUUGUGGGGUGCUCGAGUGGCGAACGGGUGAGUAACACGUGAGUAACCUGCCCUUGACUUUGGGAUAACUUCAGGAAACUGGGGCUAAUACCGGAUAGGAGCUCCUGUUGCAUGGUGGGGGUUGGAAAGUCUCGGCGGUUGGGGAUGGACUGGCGGCUUAUCAGCUUGUUGGUGGGGUAGUGGCUUACCAAGGCUUUGACGGGUAGCCGGCAUGAGAGGGGGACCGGCGACAUGGGGACUGAGAGACGGCCCAGACUCCUACGGGAGGCAGCAGUGGGGAAUAUUGCACAAUGGGCGGAAGCCUGAGGCAGAAACGCCGCGGGCGGGAUGACGGCCUUCGGGGUGUAAACCGCUGUCGCCUGUGACGAAGCGUGAGUGACGGUAAUGGGUAAAGAAGCACCGGCUAACUACGUG
rnacentral:rRNA from 1 species